rnacentral:misc_RNA from 1 species
UCCCUGUUCACCAAGGCAGUCUCGUUAGAAAAAUACAACUAACGACGAGGGUUGCGCUCGUUAUCGGACUUAACCGUACACUUCACAGCACGAGCUGACGACGACCAUGCAGCAUCUGUCUCUCGGUUCCCCUAAAAGGGGCACCCCCAUAUUUCUACAGGGUUCCGAGGAUGUCAAAUCUUGGUAAGGUUUUUCGGUUGUUGUCGAAUUAAACCACAUGCUCCACCGCUUGUGUGGAUCCCCGUCAAUUCCUUUGAGUUUUAGCCUUGCGGCCGUACUUCCCAGGCGGGAUACUUAAUGCGUUGGCUACGGCACUUCUAGGGGUCGAUUCCUAAAAACGCCUAGUAUCCAUCGUUUACGGCGUGGACUA